AUCACUUUCCAUAUCUCCCUCUCAAAUUAUUAUUCCAUCAGCAUCCGAUUCUCUCCUUCAAAACCCCCCAGAAAGGAUUUUCCCUUUCUUGGUUUUCGAGCUUACUGCUCUGAACCUCACCAAUGGCGACCUCCACUUCUUCCCAGGCUCCAGUAACUCCUCGGCUCCAUCGCUUCGAGCUCGUCGAAGGGAUGCAACUUCAGAUUAAUGUCUCUGGGUCUUGUAAAGGACGCAAUGUUAGACUUGAAUUUCAACUUAGCAAAUCCAGCAGCGCUUGGAUUCUUCACUGGGGUUGUGUUUUCCCUGCAAACAUGUAAUACCAAAACCCCCCAAAUUUUUUCUUUUUUGAUUUUUGUUUUUAAUAUCUAGGUGUGUGUGUGUGUAUGGUUUUUGAUUACUAUGUACAGGAACUGGUAUAUUCCCAAUUCGGGUACGUAUACUUUCAAGCAAGGUUCAUUGCAGACUCCAUUCACCAAGGUCUUUUCAAAACCCCAUUUUCCUAUAUAUGAAUAUAUUCUCUCCACAUAUUCCUCUGCUUUAUUAAGUUUCAAUUUUUUUGGACUUGUGGUAAAUUUUAGUUCAGUUCAAUUAGUAGUCUUAGUAUGUUUAAUAUACUAUUCUGCAAUGUAAAUUGAAUAUCAUUGACAAAGUGGUUGUCUUUGACCGGUCUUACUCUUUUUUGUACAUUAUGUGCAUGGGUAGAGAAUUGACCCAACUGUAAGAACUAAGAUCAAAGAAUAAGAAAUCCUGAAAAGAAUGAUCAUUAUGUUAUAACAGCCAUUUUCAAACUGUUAGUGGAUCCUCUCCUCUGUUUCUUCUCUGAGUUGCAGAAAGGAGAAUUAUAUUUGUUAACCAUUGAGUUGCGGGACCCCAAUAUACAUGCUAUUGAAUUUGUUGUAAAAGAUGGCAGUCGAGAUAGAUGGUUUGGAUUCUUUCUCUCAUGGGCACUUUGAUAUUUAAUUUAUAGAGCUGACCUUAAAGCAGUUUUUGGUUUAUAUAUCUGUGUUAGGUUGAAACUAAAUCAUGGAAAUUUUUGAGUAGAAAUUCCUGAGAGUGAUCCAACUUCUUUAAAGCCCUCUGUACCGAAAGAGCUGAUUGAACGCAAGGCAUUUUUAGUUUAGGAAAGCAAAGGCAGACCCAUGAGCUCGCCACAACAACAAAAGCAAGACUAUGAGGGUGCUUUGAUAGAGAGACAAAAUCAGCUAUCGAAAGGAAUAUCCUUGAAUGAGUUGCACAGUAGUUUUUCAACUUCCAAUACCAAGAAAGUGGUUGGUUAUAGAGAGCAGCUAAGGAGUGAAAUGACAUACUCUUACAAAAGGAAACAUAACGUUCAGCAGUGGUUGCAAAAGCAUACCACAGGACCUGCCAAAAACACAAUCUCAAGUUCAGCUCUCGUGGAUCUUGUUGACAAAUCUAUGGGAGGAGAUGAUGUAGUCUCACGGAGAAGUUAUCAUGUUGGCAACUAUGAAGUAGUGUGAAAUUAGUGAAGCUCAAGAUAGGUUUACCAGUCUACUACAGAGAGUAUAUUUAAACCAGCCAAAGGAUCGGGAUGUAGUGAGACUACUAAUGGCACAUGUUGGUCGCGGGGGUCAGGGAGAUGUUGGACAGAAGAUUUGUGAUGAAAUACUUGUAAUUCAGAGAAACAAUGACUGCAAGAAUGGCAUGAUGGAGGAAUGGCACCAAAAGUUGCAAUAGUAGUAGCCCAGAUGAUGUGAUAAUUUGUGAGGCUGUUCAUUCAGGUGUUGACCUUGAAUCUGCUAUUGAAGUUUUGGUUCCCUCAAAUAGGGAUCAUGAUUUCACAAGCACCGUUUGUGAUUUGUCCCCUAGACUGCAGGAGUGCCUGAACUUUGUCAAAGCACGUCAUGGUGAUGAAGAUAUUGUUCCACUAAAGGAGGUCAUACUGUCUUACAAACCUUUAACUUUUCAAGUCUCUCUCUAUUAAGGAAUCAUUGUGAAGUUUAAAAUCAUGUUCCAGAAGUUAUUAGAGCUUCGCUCUCUUCUGAUCACCUCCAUUAGAAGAUUAAAAGAUAUGCUGUUCCUGAUAUUGCUUUGGCUUCAGCUGUCAAAACAACUAUGGAAAGGGGACUCACAGAUCUACAUUUUUCUAACCCACAUGAAAUUAUGUUCUUCAUUUCCUUGUUGCUCGAAAAUUUAUGCCUGUCAACAGUUAACAAUGAAGAUCUCAUUUACUGCACCAAGGUGGAUCUCUCGGUGAGCAUGAAUGCUGUCAUGCUGACCUCUUCUCGUGUAUCAUUUGGGGAACUUCUAGUUUAUGGUUUUGGACUGGUACCGUAUUAGUGAACUGUAUAUGAACCCAAUAAUGGUCAGUGGGCAUCACAAUCAAAGGCUAUUCUUGAUCGCUUACAAUUAGUACUUGCUGAUAGGUCUCAGUGCUACCAGAAGAUGAUCCAGCCCAGUGCAAAAUAUCUUGGUAAUUUGCUUGGUGUUCAGAAGCCAGCGGUAUGUUGUUGUUGCCUGACUUUUGCAUCUAUAGUAGACAACGAGUGAGGCUUCUUUUUUAUGUCUUCUCCCUAAUAUCAGAUUGAUACUUUAAUUUUCUGAGUUAAUAAGGGCUGGAUCAGAGACUAUUCUGUCUACUCUAUCAAUCGUUUUGACUCCAUUCUGAGAGAAGCGGCUAACUUAAGCCGUUGGCAGGUUGUCAGCCCAGUUGAAGUGCAGGGUUUUAUAACUUCGGUUAAUGAGCUAAUUGAAAGUCUAUAAAAAGCCAACCAUUCUAAUUGCAACUAGAGUAACUGGGGAAGAGGAGAUUCCAGAUGGAGUAGUUGCUGUCCUGACACCUGAUUCGCCAGAUGUUCUAUCUCAUGUCUCUAUAAGAGCAAGAAAUAGCAAGGUAUGCUUUGCCACCUGCUUUGAUACGAAUAUUCUCAGGGAUCUCAGGUUGAAAGAAGGCAAACCAAUGUCAAUAGAAGUAAAGUUGGCAAAUAUUAUUAUCAGGUUGGUCACUGGAGUGUUGUUUCUUUGGUA